UACGUAGGGUGCAAGCGUUGUCCGGAAUUAUUGGGCGUAAAGAGCUCGUAGGCGGUCUGUCGCGUCUGCUGUGAAAACUCGGGGCUUAACCCCGGGCCUGCAGUGGGUACGGGCAGACUAGAGUGCGGUAGGGGAGAUUGGAAUUCCUGGUGUAUCGGUGAAAUGCGCAGAUAUCAGGAGGAACACCGGUGGCGAAGGCGGGUCUCUGGGCCGUAACUGACGCUGAGGAGCGAAAGCAUGGGGAGCGAACAGG
rnacentral:rRNA from 1 species